rnacentral:rRNA from 1 species
CUGUGAGGUAUGCUGGAGGUAUCAGAAGUGCGAAUGCUGACAUAAGUAACGAUAAAGCGGGUGAAAAGCCCGCUCGCCGGAAGACCAAGGGUUCCUGUCCAACGUUAAUCGGGGCAGGGUGAGUCGACCCCUAAGGCGAGGCCGAAAGGCGUAGUCGAUGGGAAACAGGUUAAUAUUCCUGUACUUGGUGUUACUGCGAAGGGGGGACGGAGAAGGCUAUGUUGGCCGGGCGACGGUUGUCCCGGUUUAAGCGUGUAGGCUGGUUUUCCAGGCAAAUCCGGAAAAUCAAGGCUGAGGCGUGAUGACGAGGCACUACGGUGCUGAAGCAACAAAUGCCCUGCUUCCAGGAAAAGCCUCUAAGCAUCAGGUAACAUCAAAUCGUACCCCAAACCGACACAGGUGGUCAGGUAGAGAAUACCAAGGCGCUUGAGAGAACUCGGGUGAAGGAACUAGGCAAAAUGGUGCCGUAACUUCGGGAGAAGGCACGCUGAUAUGUAGGUGAAGCGACUUGCUCGUGGAGCUGAAAUCAGUCGAAGAUACCAGCUGGCUGCAACUGUUUAUUAAAAACACAGCACUGUGCAAACACGAAAGUGGACGUAUACGGUGUGACGCCUGCCCGGUGCCGGAAGGUUAAUUGAUGGGGUCAGCGCAAGCGAAGCUCUUGAUCGAAGCCCCGGUAAACGGCGGCCGUAACUAUAACGGUCCUAAGGUAGCGAAAUUCCUUGUCGGGUAAGUUCCGACCUGCACGAAUGGCGUAAUGAUGGCCAGGCUGUCUCCACCCGAGACUCAGUGAAAUUGAACUCGCUGUGAAGAUGCAGUGUACCCGCGGCAAGACGGAAAGACCCCGUGAACCUUUACUAUAGCUUGACACUGAACAUUGAGCCUUGAUGUGUAGGAUAGGUGGGAGGCUUUGAAGUGUGGACGCCAGUCUGCAUGGAGCCGACCUUGAAAUACCACCCUUUAAUGUUUGAUGUUCUAACGUUGACCCGUAAUCCGGGUUGCGGACAGUGUCUGGUGGGUAGUUUGACUGGGGCGGUCUCCUCCUAAAGAGUAACGGAGGAGCACGAAGGUUGGCUAAUCCUGGUCGGACAUCAGGAGGUUAGUGCAAUGGCAUAAGCCAGCUUGACUGCGAGCGUGACGGCGCGAGCAGGUGCGAAAGCAGGUCAUAGUGAUCCGGUGGUUCUGAAUGGAAGGGCCAUCGCUCAACGGAUAAAAGGUACUCCGGGGAUAACAGGCUGAUACCGCCCAAGAGUUCAUAUCGACGGCGGUGUUUGGCACCUCGAUGUCGGCUCAUCACAUCCUGGGGCUGAAGUAGGUCCCAAGGGUAUGGCUGUUCGCCAUUUAAAGUGGUACGCGAGCUGGGUUUAGAACGUCGUGAGACAGUUCGGUCCCUAUCUGCCGUGGGCGCUGGAGAACUGAGGGGGGCUGCUCCUAGUACGAGAGGACCGGAGUGGACGCAUCACUGGUGUUCGGGUUGUCAUGCCAAUGGCACUGCCCGGUAGCUAAAUGCGGAAGAGAUAAGUGCUGAAAGCAUCUAAGCACGAAACUUGCCCCGAGAUGAGUUCUCCCUGACUCCUUGAGAGUCCUGAAGGAACGUUGAAGACGACGACGUUGAUAGGCCGGGUGUGUAAGCGCAGCGAUGCGUUGAGCUAACCGGUACUAAUGAACCGUGAG